rnacentral:lncRNA from 1 species
AUGGCAUGGGCUAAAGCUAGAAAUGGUGAUUCUGCCACUGACUGGUCCAUUUUUAGACAACUAAGAAAUAAAUGUACCUCUCUUAUCAAAAAGGCUAAAUCAGAAUAUUAUUUAUCAGUCGAUUCUGUCAGCCUUAGCCAGUUGGUAAAUGUACCUACAAGGCCUAAUCUCAAAAAUCCAGAUAAAUCUACUUUAAUCGAUUUGAUUUUAACAAAUGUCCCACAUAAAUUUUUAUCCAUGGGUGUCUUUUGUAAUGAUCUGAGUGAUCAUUGUGUUAUUGCUACUUCGAGAGGCAGUAAAAUACCCAAAUGUAAAUCGCAAGUUAUUAGAAAGAGGAAUUUGAAAAAUUUUAAUGAACAAGCCUAUCAUCAUGAUCUAUCUUUGAUUAACUGGGGACAGCUAGGCCUGUUGCCUGACGUUGAGCUUGCCUGGACACUUUUUAAGGAGAAUUUUGAGAAAAUUGUAAAUAAACAUGCUCCUUGGACAAAGCACAGAGUGAAGGGACGGGAAAACCCUUGGUUUUCUCCAGAGUUGUCAGACAUUAUCCAUCAGCGAAAUAUGGCAUGGGCUAAAGCUAGAAAUGGUGAUUCUGCCACUGACUGGUCCAUUUUUAGACAACUAAGAAAUAAAUGUACCUCUCUUAUCAAAAAGGCUAAAUCAGAAUAUUAUUUAUCAGUCACAAGUGAAAACCUCAAUAAUCCACAGAAAUUUUGGAAAGUCAUCAAGUCUCUUUCUGUGAAUAAAAGUAAUGAAGCCCUCCCAAAAAUUUGUCUUAAAAACUCUCUCCCAGUCUACGACAGAGUUGAUGUCUUAAAUUGCUUUAAUGAGCAUUUUGUAUCAGUUGGUUCUCUGUCUGAGUCGACAGAAGUAGUCGCUGUCACUCCAUGCACAUACUCCUCAGUGUUUUCUGGAGAGCCUUUUAAUUUUGUUUCUUUUACUGUGCAGCAGGUGCAUGGAGCUCUUAAAGCGUUAGAUCACAGAAAACCUCCUGGACCAGAUUUAAUAGAGCCUUACUUUUUGAAAAAGGCGGCUGAUUUUGUUGCAGAGCCCCUUACAAUUCUUUUUAAUCUGUCAAUUCAAAACAAUGAAAUACCAUCAGUUUGGAAGUCAGCUUUUGUUACUCCCUUGUUUAAAGGAGGUGAUCCAGCAGUUUUAACUAACUAUCGGCCUAUAUCUAAUUUGUGUGUUUUGUCAAAAAUUUUAGAAUCCCUUGUUUCAGACCAAAUAAAAGAGUUUUUAUACUCAAAUGAACUCCUUUCUAAACUGCAGUCAGGCUUCAGGAAAAAGCACAGUACCAUCACUGCUGUUACAAAAGUAAUUAAUGACAUACUUGUCGCUCUUGAUAGAAAGCAAUUCUGUGCAUCACUUUUUCUUGAUCUGUCGAAAGCUUUUGACACAGUGGACCAUGCUGUUUUAAAGCAAAGGCUUCUUUGUCUGGGAUUGUCUGAUUGUGUAGUUUCCUGGUUCAUGAAUUAUCUG